CGGCCCGUAGCUCAGGGGUAAGAGCAGUGGUCUUAUAUACCAUGUGUCGUGGGUUCAAUUCCCACCGGGCCAACCA
rnacentral:tRNA from 1 species